GGCUCCUUCCUUUUCCUGGUGGCGCCGUGAAGAUCUGUGUGUGUACUUCUUGGAAAGAUUCCAGGUGCUUGAAAAGGACGUCUCAGUGGGUCAAGGAGACGUGAUUAUGCUUUCCCAGAAAAGCUGAAGCUUAGCGUGUAUCAUUGCAUGCAGAUCCAGCUAACCCCACUUCAAAGUUUAUGUGAGGAAUACAUAAUCCAAUUGUUUGAACUCCAGUUGUAACAAGGUCCCCUCAUCUGCUCAUCUGCCUCGAUGUGACUUUUCCACCUCUGAGCUUGACUGCUAGUCAUCUCCACCUUGUAUCUCCAAACCCAUCAGCAAUUUUUCAAGGAUGGGCCAAAGCUUUCUGUAGGCACUUUGGAAGGACCUGUGGCACGAGAGACAGGAAUGUAUUAACAAGCGCAGAGCUGGGAGCCCCUCAGAGGUCAUCUGGCCCAAUUAUCUGGUUUUAAGGAGGAAGAAAAGGGGGCCUAAAGGAGUCAACUGCAAGCUCUGUGCACUGCUGGAGCUCUCUUCCUUAAAGCAUUUGGCCUUCUGGCAAUAAAGGGACAGCAGAGACCUGCUCUCACUUGAGCCUCACUGGGUCCUUGUGGCAAGAGCUGCCAUGUGUUUACCUCCUUGAAUCUUGACCACUGCCCCUCAGGAAGUCAUGGCUUAGGGCCGUUGAGCUCACCUGUCACACAGCAACACACAAAGGAGCCAGAUCCAGGCCCUCAGGGAGUAGCUCAUGGCUCCAGCCCAG
rnacentral:lncRNA from 1 species